GCGAGGUAGCUCAGGUGGUUAGAGCGACGGUCUCAUAAUCCGUAGGUCGAGGGUUCGAGUCCCUCCUUCGCC
rnacentral:tRNA from 1 species